rnacentral:rRNA from 1 species
CCUACGGGAGGCAGCAGUAGGGAAUAUUGCACAAUGGGGGAAACCCUGAUGCAGCAACGCCGCGUGAGUGAUGAAGGUUUUCGGAUUGUAAAGUUCUAUUGUCAGGGAAGAUAAUGACGGUACCUAACUAAUAAGCACCGGCUAACUACGUGCCAGCAGCCGCGGUAAUACGGAGGGGGCAAGCGUUAUCCGGAAUUACUGGGCGUAAAGAGAGCGUAGGCGGGGGAGCAAGUCAGAUGUGAAAGGCUGUGGCUUAACCAUAGGACUGCAUUUGAAACUGUUAUACUGGAGUAUGGGAGAGGUAAGUGGAAUUCUUGGUGUAGCGGUAAAAUGCGUAGAGAUCAGGAGGAAUACUAAUGGCGAAGGCGACCUACUGGAACGUAACUGACGCUGAGGCGCGAAAGCGUGGGGAGCAAACAGGAUUAGAUACCCUAGUAGUC